GCGUUCCAUUAGGCAGUUGGCGGGGUAACGGCCCACCAAACCGACGAUGGAUAGGGGUUCUGAGAGGAAGGUCCCCCACAUUGGAACUGAGACACGGUCCAAACUCCUACGGGAGGCAGCAGUGAGGAAUAUUGGUCAAUGGGCGAGAGCCUGAACCAGCCAAGUAGCGUGAAGGAUGACUGCCCUAUGGGUUGUAAACUUCUUUUAUGCGGGAAUAACAAGCGGCACGUGUGCCGUUCUGCAUGUACCGUAUGAAUAAGCAUCGGCUAACUCCGUGCCAGCAGCCGCGGUAAUACGGAGGAUGCGAGCGUUAUCCGGAUUUAUUGGGUUUAAAGGGAGCGCAGACGGGUCUUUAAGUCAGUUGUGAAAGUUUGCGGCUCAACCGUAAAAUUGCAGUUGAUACUGGAGACCUUGAGUGCGGUAUAGGCAGGCGGAAUUCGUGGUGUAGCGGUGAAAUGCUUAGAUAUCACGAAGAACUCCGAUUG
rnacentral:rRNA from 1 species